rnacentral:ncRNA from 1 species
AACUGCAGGGGUGCUGAACAAAUCGGCUGAGAACGCAGAAGCGUAACCCUUUAACCUGAUACGGAUAAUGCCGGCGUAGGAAGUAUGUUUU